GGAAGGGUUUCAACAGGUACCUGGACGAACUCACACUUCCGUUACGCAGUGGUUUACUUUCUUCCCCUGUGACUAGAGGUUGAAGGAUCUUUCACCACCUAAAAGCUGGCCACAGUAUCUUCAAAGAGCUCCAGGGGUGAUUCAGAUGUGUGAAGAUACAGCAGCCAUGGACUUAUAAUGAACCAAAGACUGGGAAGCCCUCCACUGGCCACUUUUUCCAUAAUGGGCAAGAAGGAAAGAAGGUGUUUGUAGGCUUUCUUGGAAAGGACAUUGUGGGUGGCUUCCAGUAUCACUCACAGGAAGCCGCAAGUGUCACAACAAGCAGCACCUUCCACAGAUAUCAUGAUCUCAGGGUAAAGAAGCAGUUAAAGGACACAUCACCUUCGUGGGAAGACUGUAUUUUCCAUCUGGAAGAGAGAUGCUCUGAACCUCUCCACAAGCAGCGCAGAGAAAAGCCAUUUUGAUGCAGAGAGGCUUUAUGUUACUGACACGAACCACCGUCCCUCUCAGCGUGAUAUAUUUUCCAUAGUAAUUCGCCCG